rnacentral:rRNA from 1 species
UACGUAGGGCGCAAGCGUUGUCCGGAUUCACUGGGUGUAAAGGGUGCGCAGGCGGACUGGCAAGUCAGGGGUGAAAUCUCACAGCUCAACUGUGAAACUGCCUUUGAUUACUGCUGGUCUUGAGUCAGGGAGAGGUUGAUGGAAUUCCAGGUGUAGCGGUGAAAUGCGUAGAUAUCUGGAAGAACACCGGUGGCGAAGGCGGUCGAAACUGGCCCUGAACUGACGCUCAGGCCACCGAAAGCGUGGGGAUCGAAACAGGAUUAAGAUGACCUUGAUCAGUCC